CGGUAAUUCCAGCUCCAAUAGCGUAUACUAAAGUUGUUGCAGUUAAAAAGCUCGUAGUUGGAUUUCUGUGGGGACGGAGCGGCCGGUCGCAACUUGCGAUUCGAGCUAGCGCUUUCCCUACAUCCUGCCGCGAACCGUGCUACCAUUAGUUUGGUGGCGCCGGGGAUCGGCUCGUUUACUUUGAGAAAAAUAGAGUGUUCAAAGCAGGCCACACGCCUUGAAUAAGUUAGCAUGGAAUAAUAAUAAAGGACUUCGGUUCUAUUUUGUUGGUGUUCGGGACUGAAGUAAUGAUUGAUAGGGACAGUUGGGGCGGUCAGUAUUCCAAAGCGAGAGGUGAAAUUCUUAGACCUUCGGAAGACUAACAGCUGCGAAAGCGUUCCGCAAGGAUGUUCCCUUUGAUCAAGAACGAAAGUUGGGGGAUCGAAGACGAUCAGAUACCGUCGUAGUCUCAACUAUAAACUAUACCAGCUAGGGAUCGGCCAACGUUAAAUUAAUCGACUUGGUCGGCACCUUAUGAGAAAUCAAAGCAUCUGGGUUCCGGGGGGAGUAUGGUCGCAAGGCUGAAACUUAAAGGAAUUGACGGAAGGGCACCACCAGCCGUGGAGCCUGUGGCUUAAUUUGACUCAACACGGGGAAACUUACCAGGUCCAGACAUAGUAAGGAUUGACAGAUUGAUAGCUCUUUCUUGAUUCUGUGGGUGGUGGUGCAUGGCCGUUCUCAGUUGGUGGAGUGAUUUGUCUGGUUAAUUCCGUUAACGAACGAGACCCCAGCCUGCUAAAUAGCGCGGCUGAGCUUUGCUCGGUGCGAGCUUCUUAGAGGGACUAUGAUGCGCGAUAGCACAUGGAAGUUUGGGGCAAUAACAGGUCUGUGAUGCCCUUAGAUGUUCUGGGCCGCACACGGGCUACACUGGCGCCUGCAACGAGCAUAUCAGCUGGCCCGAGAGGGUCUUGGCUAAUCUUUUGAACCGGCGCCGUGCUUGGGAUUGACCAUUGCAAUUGUUGGUCAUGCAACGAGGAAUGCCUUGUAAACGCGAGUCAUCAACUCGCAUUGAAUACGUCCCUGCCCUUUGUACACACCGCCC
rnacentral:rRNA from 1 species